rnacentral:rRNA from 1 species
UACAGGGGGUGCAACCGUUGCUCGGAAUCAUUGGGCGUAAAGCGCACGUAGGCGGUUCGUUAUGUCGGAUGUGAAAGCCCUUGGCUUAACCGAGGAAGUGCACCCGAAACUGGCGAGCUAGAGUACUAAAGAGGAUCGCGGAAUUCCCGGUGUAGAGGUGAAAUUCGUAGAUAUCGGGAGGAACACCGGUGGCGAAGGCGGCGAUCUGGGUAGAUACUGACGCUGAGGUGCGAAAGCGUGGGGAGCAAACAGG